rnacentral:rRNA from 1 species
AUGCAAGUCGAACGCGAACGGCUCCUUCGGGAGCCUAGUAGAGUGGCAAACGGGUGAGUAACGCGUGGGUAACGUACCCUGAUCCUGGGAAUAACCCUCGGAAACGAGGGCUAAUACCGAAUGUGGCGAACGACCGGUUGGUCGCUCGCUAAAGGUGGCCUCUUCUAUGCUGCCGGGUUGGGAUCGGCCCGCGUCCCAUUAGCUAGUUGGUGAGGUAACGGCUCACCAAGGCCACGAUGGGUAGCCGGCCUGAGAGGGUGUACGGCCACACUGGCACUGAGACAAGGGCCAGUCCCCUAUGGGAGGCGCAGGCGGGAAUAGUUCACAAUGGGCGAAAGCCUGAUGACGCGACGCCGCGUGAGCGAAGAAGACCUUCGGGUUGUAAAGCUCUGUCAGGAGGGAAGAAGGCUCUACGGGUUAAUAGCCCGUGGAAUUGACGGUACCUCCAGAGGAAGCCCCGGCUAAAUACGUGCCAGCAGCCGCGGUAAUACGUAUGGGGCAAGCGUUGUCCGGAUUUACUGGGCGUAAAGGGCGCGUAGGCGGUUUGUUAAGUCGAAGGUGAAAUCCUCGGGCUCAACUCGAGAAUUGCCUUCGAUACUGGCAAACUAGAGUGGCGGAGAGGAAAGCGGAACUCUUGGUGUAACGGUGGAAUGUGUAGAUAUCAAGAGGAACACCGGUGGCGAAGGCGGCUUUCUGGACGCACACUGACGCUCAGGCGCGAAAGCGUGGGUAGCAAACCAGGAUUAGAUACCCUGGUAGUCCACGCCAUAAACGAUGGGUACUAGGUGUCAGGGGGUAUCGACCCCCUCCGGUGCCGCAGUUUACGCACUAAGUUACCCCGCUUGGGGAUUAUGGUCGCAAGGCUGUGACUCUAAGGAAUUGACGGGGCACCGCACAAUCGCUGGAGCAUAUGGUGUAAUUCGAGCGCAACGCGAAGAACACUUACCUGGGCUUGACAUGCUUGGGACAGCGCUGGUAACAGCGUCUCUCAUUCGGGAGCCCUUGCACAGGUGCUGCAUGGCUGUCGUCAGAUCGUGUCGUGAGAUAUUGGGUUAAGUCCCGCAACGAGCGCAAACCCUCGUUACUAGUUGCCAUCAGUUCGGCUGGGCACUCUAGUGAGACUGCCGGUGAUAAACCGGAGGAAGGUGAGGAUGAUGUCAAGUCAUCAUGGCCCUUACGCCCAGGGCUACACACGUGCUACAAUGGUCGGCACAAAGGG